UACGUAGGGACCGAGCGUUGUCCGGAAUCAUUGGGCGUAAAGCGCGCGUAGGCGGCUACCUAAGUCGGAUGUGAAAGCCCCUGGCUUAACUGGGGAAGUGCACCCGAAACUGGGUAGCUAGAGUGCAAAAGAGGGUCGCGGAAUUCCCGGUGUAGAGGUGAAAUUCGUAGAUAUCGGGAGGAACACCGGUGGCGAAGGCGGCGACCUGGGUUGACACUGACGCUGAGGCGCGAAAGCGUGGGGAGCAAACAGG
rnacentral:rRNA from 1 species